UCUGGUAAUGAUGGCAGAGAGGUCACACCCGUUCCCAUACCGAACACGGAAGUUAAGCUCUCUAGCGCCGAUGGUAGUUGGGACCUUGUCCCUGUGACUGUGAGAGUAGGACGUUGCCAGGC
rnacentral:rRNA from 1 species